GUCUUGUGCAGUUCACAGGCAGCCAUCUUCAAGAAAGGACGGUGUAUUUAUAACCCUCUGUUUUCAACUUUCGUUUCCAAAAUAUUCCGUGAAUGCGUACAGCCAUCGUCGGAAGACCUGUCCUUCCCUCCGGCUUACCAACCAGGACCUUUGGAAAGGACUACAUUCUUUAGGUGUGUACCAAAAUAACGUUAUUAAUGCCUGCAGCGGAUGUUUAACAUUUAUGGAAGUUCCCAUUGUGCUCAGCCAAGUUUGCUUAAAUUUGGGGGAGAGAACGCGGGACAGAACAGCGCCAGAGGAGCUGAGGGGAACAUAAGAAGAUCGUUGAUUGCCGUAACUGAAGAGAUCAUAAUUAGAUCGUAGAUUGUAGUAACUGGAGAGAUCACAAUUAGAUCGUCGA